rnacentral:lncRNA from 1 species
CCCUCGCGCACGGGCUCUUGGGAGAGCGUCACCCGGCCUAUAAAAGCGUGCGCGCACCGCGCCGAAGUCUCUUUGGCUGCGAUCUGGCUGCGAGUGUGUAGUUAUGUGUCUGGGAUGAUAUCUUGGGCCUUAUCUGUGAGUGGCCGAGAUGCGGGAGACCCAAGGCGGCCAUGGUGCUGGCCGCAGGCCGUCAAUUAUGCAAGAGCGCGGUGAAGGGUAGCGCGCCGGCCUACAUGUAAAGCCGAUAUGGUGUUGGGAGGCGCCACGCCAAGUUCGCCACCGCAGGGUCAGAUGGAAAUGCCGGAACCUGUUGAACAGUGGAAGAAGUGUUAAGGUACUGUAUUGGUUGAGAUCGUCUGGUCAGUCACCUCACAGGGAAUCUUUGCUUUUAAUUUUUGGAAGUUGAAUAUUUUCUAUUAAAUAAAAGAUGUUUUGUGUGUAAUAA